GGCGUGCACGUGUUGGUCGUGCUGCGAUGUAGUCGCGUGCCGGCGUUUUUCCGCUUACCGAUCGCAGUGUGCCGGGCCACGUGGGUAUCGGCCGCGGCGUAUACGAUAACCGCGGUAUACGGUCGCGAACACGCGACUGCGUUUCAUUUUGUCCGAACGGCAUUUCUUUUCUUUUUUCUUUUUUUUUUUUCGGCCGUUCAGCGAUAUUGUAAUUAUUAUUAUUGCCGUUACUAAUACAAUUCUCGCGAACGCUUACACUCGGGACGAUCGUCGCGACAGAUAUUAUUGCCGAAACGUUAACGGAAAAGAAAAAAAACAAACCGACCCCACGAUAUUGUGACGAUAAACAGUGACGGUUUUCGACGACAUUACCACAACGUUAUCGGUGUAUCGACAGUCGACGCGCGCGGAUCCUCGUUUAAUCGGGUUGUUAUCAUUGCGGUUUUUUUUUUUUUCUGUCUCUCUUAAUCAUGUCGGU